rnacentral:rRNA from 1 species
GGGGGAAUUUUGCACAAUGGGGGAAACCCUGAUGCAGCGACGCCGCGUGAUUUAGAAGGCCUUCGGGUUGUAAAAAUCUUUUCUAUGGGAAGAAAAUGACAGUACCAUAGGAAUAAGGACCGGCUAAUUACGUGCCAGCAGCCGCGGUAAUACGUAAGGUCCGAGCGUUGUCCGGAAUCAUUGGGCGUAAAGGGUACGUAGGCGGGUAAGCAAGUUAGAAGUGAAAUACUGUAGCUCAACUACAGUAAGCUUUUAAAACUGCUCAUCUUGAGAUAUGGAAGGGAAAGUGGAAUUCCUAGUGUAGCGGUGAAAUGAGCCGAUAUUAGGAGGAAUACCGGUGGCGAAGGCGACUUUCUGGCCAUAAUCUGACGCUGAGGUACGAAAGCGUGGGUAGCAAACAGG